rnacentral:rRNA from 1 species
AUGGGGGAGAACCAACCGGGAUUGCCUCAGUAACGGCGAGUGAAGCGGCAAGAGCUCAAAUUUGAAAGCUGGCUCCUUCGGGGUCCGCAUUGUAAUUUGCAGAGGAUGCUUCGGGUGCGGCCCCUGUCUAAGUGCCCUGGAACGGGCCGUCAGAGAGGGUGAGAAUCCCGUCUGGGAUGGGGUGUCCGCGCCCGUGUGAAGCUCCUUCGACGAGUCGAGUUGUUUGGGAAUGCAGCUCUAAAUGGGUGGUAAAUUUCAUCUAAAGCUAAAUACUGGCCGGAGACCGAUAGCGCACAAGUAGAGUGAUCGAAAGAUGAAAAGCACUUUGAAAAGAGAGUUAAAAAGCACGUGAAAUUGUUGAAAGGGAAGCGCUUGCGACCAGACUCGCCUCCAGGGUUCAGCCGGCAUUCGUGCCGGUGUACUUCCCUGGGGGCGGGCCAGCGUCGGUUUGGGCGGCCGGUCAAAGGCUCCCGGAAUGUAGUGCCCUCCGGGGCACCUUAUAGCCGGGAGUGCAAUGCGGCCAGCCUGGACCGAGGAACGCGCUUCGGCACGGACGCUGGCAUAAUGGUCGUAAACGACCCGUCUUGAAACACGGACCAAGGAGUCUAACGUCUACGCGAGUGUGCGGGUGUCAAACCCGUACGCGCAGUGAAAGCGAACGGAGGUGGGAGCCCCCUCUGGGGGCGCACCAGCGCCCGAUCCUGAUGUCUUCGGAU